AUCAAGAUCCGGUCGGCCGGUCGGGGCAGGAGAUAACAAAAGGCGAGGAGGUUUCUUACAAAACUUUGAACAUGACACAAGAGCUGUUGAGCAGUACCUCUUUUGCUAGGCAAUUAGUUGAUCAGAUGACACUUGCCAAAUCUUACAUAAUCCUUGCAAAAGAGCACGGUAACUUGGAUCUCGCUUGGAAAUUUAGCUCGCAGAUUAGGAGCUGCCAACG
rnacentral:misc_RNA from 1 species